ensembl:lncRNA LINC02210 long intergenic non-protein coding RNA 2210
GCCCCCACUUCUAGGCUUGGUUGAACCGUGCAGAUACCUUCUCGAAACAAAAGAUUUUCCUACCUGCUUAUACUUGGUAACCGAGGGAAUUUCUAAGACUUCUUGCUCAUUUCUGAGUAUUGUCUUUAUAUCCUGACACUAUGAAUGCUACUUGGAUGCCUCUUAAGGGUCUCUUCUGCAGGGUCCCCAUGAAUUGUGGCUGAAGUUGUGCACAAACAAGUAUCUCCAGUGACAGGAGUGCCUUCUGAGGCAGCCAUUGCAUCUUCAUCUGCUGACACUCUGCUAGGCUGACUUCUGUAGUUUUCACCACUGAUCUUCAGUCCACCUCACAGAGCUCUAUAAAACGCUUAAAUCCUCUUUACAUCAUAGACUUUCAGCUACUUGAAGAUAGCCAUCAGCCGCUACGUGACUCUUUUCUCCAGGUUGAAGAUUAUUCUCUCUUCUAAAGAAAAUAGAAGAAUAUUAGGAGAAAAGACACUUGAAAAUGUUCACUCUUUUAUUCACAUUACAUCAUCUGUCUUGAAUAAUGGGUCUAUCUCUUUCCUGUUGCUCUGGCCCUGAAAAAAAAAUUAGCUUUUUAAGGCUGCUUUUGUUACGUGUGCAUUUUCUUGUAAUCCCGUCAUUCUGGGAUUUAAUAAUAAUAGUAUUAAUACCACCUACCAUUUGUUGGUUACUUACUGUGUUUUAGGCACUGUGCUAAACGCCUUCCAUGUAUUCAUCUCAUUAGUAAACAUUUCUGAAACUAUUCUUACAAUUUGUCUUUUAGUUUUUCUUGUUCUUGUCCUCUUAAAAUCUGAGCUUAGCCAUGAGCUCUCAGUGAAGCUGCUUGUAUUUCUUUAAAAACCCUCUUUGCUUCCUCCAAGUGGAGUGGGUUGUACUUCUGAGGUCAGGACAAACUGGGCACCGGAGGAGUUCAGCCUUCCGAGGCUGCAGGAGGGGUGGGUCCCCUGAGGCGAGCAAGAUGAUGUAAGGCCUUGACUUGGGGUAACAGACAGCCACAGAUGGGAAGAGAGAAGCCAACAUUUAACCACGGAAGGAUGUGAAGGGCGGAGAGGUGGGUUGAGCACUGGGCCCCGGGUGCGGGGAGUGGGAAAAGGUCCAAAGGUGAAACCUGGGAAGCCUGGGCUUGGGUCUGGAAGUGGAGAGAAGGAAGUCGUUCCAGGGGGAGCUGUGAGCAAUGUGAACCCAUCAUUUCUGUUUUCACCAGCGAGGGUGAGAAUUGAGUCCACAGGAGUGGCUCCCUCCUCUGCUUCCUCGACCUGCAGAGGGCUAAGUGGGGCAACGAGCAGGGUAAAACUUUUCAAGAUGCUCUGCUCUUAGCAGAAUGAGCUGUUCUGACCAUUUCCCAAGAGCCAAAUUUCCUCAUCAGUCCUGAAUGUUGCCUCUGUGCUAUGAUUUGCGUUAAAAAAAAGAUACAGUCUCCCCACUGUGUUGUCAAAUCUGAAAUAAGGGACUGUGUUUUUGCAAAAUUCUCUUCCAAGGCCAAGCACAGGGUCAAUGUUCAGCAAAUAUUUGGUGAGUUAAUGAAUGAAAUGAAAGCACUCUCCUUAUGCUCCUUGGCUGAGUGAUGUGGAGAAGAGUUCCAGAACAAUAUAAUUUAGUUUCUUUCUCCUUUUAACCGAGCCUAGAAAUUCUCCACAAGGCAUAUGCAAAUACCCCAGACAUGUAUUUUUCCAGGCGUGUGUUUUAUGUGCAAAUACUCCUGCAUAUGUAUGAUUUUAUUUUACUUUUUGAGACAAGGUUCAUUGUCCAGGCAUUGUCUAAUGCACCAGUGCAUUGGUGCCAUCUCGGCUCACUGCAGGCUUGACUUUCCGAGCUCAGGUGGUCCUCCCACCUCAGCCUCCCAAGUAGCUGGGAUGACAGGUGCACACCACCAUGCCCAGCUAAUUUUUUGUAUUUUUAGUAGAGGUGGGGUUUCACUAUGUUGUCCAGGCUGGUCUUGAACUCCUGGGCUCUAGCAAUCUGCCCACCUUGGCCUCCUAAAGUGCUGGGAUUACAGGCAUGAGCUUCUGCUCAUAUACGUUACUUGUUCAUCUGACUGAAGACCCCAAAAGAGACCAGCACCCCAAAGAAGCAUGUAUUUCUCUUUGGAACCAGAAGCAAACAUCCUUCUGUUUGCUUGGGAUGCAUGGGAUGAGCAUGCAGUAGGUGUUUAAUAAAUACUUGUUGACUAAUUAGGGGGCAUAAAUAUGUAAAAGUGGUAAAUUAGCAAGAAAGAGCUGCAGUGUAGAUAAUCAAAUAACAAAGUUGUCUAGGACAAGAGAAUCUAUCUCUGAGGGCUCUGUGUAGGAGGAGAGGUGGUGUUGGCUAGUGAGGCAGAUCUGCCUUCUAAUUAGGCUCCAAUCAGGAUAGUAUUGCAAUUAGCUCGGGAUAUUAUAGCAGUUAGCUUCUAUUCUUGGAACAAAUUCCUGGGAGAUUUAAGUUGGGUGGUAAAAGAAGGUUGUCCCAGGAAUAAAUUUGCUGUGAACCGCUUUGGAGUGACUACUUCAUAUGUGCCUAAUUGAACCGCCAAUGUAAACCUGAUUGGAUUGUUUCCUUCUUUAUCAGCGACACUUAAACAUGAGCUCAGGAAUUUGGACAGCCACUUAACAACAGAACACAGCUCGGGAAAUUGCAGAUUUCAAAUUUCAGAAAAGUCGAUGAAUUUAGACAACUUGAGUGUCUUCUUUGUGUUAGGGUAGACAGGCUUUGGCCUCCAAGAUCUGGCUGACAAGUGCUUGCUGCUGAGACAGGCACUGAAAAGAGUAAAAAAUAUAAUGUCUUCAAUUAUCUUCCCAGUUAUUGAGACACUUAAAAACUCCACCCCAGCCCACCCUGACAGUCUCCUGUAAGGAGCUCAGUUUUCUCUGUGUCAACCUGAUGACAGACCCAGGAGGAUGUUGUGUCUGGGAAUGUUUGCUCUUCCUGGCUGGGGUGAGUAGGGCUUGGCAGCAGAGACAGUGCGAACAGAACCAAGCCACGAAUCCUGGCUCUCAGUCCAUCCAGCCAGCAGCUUUUCGCUUCAUCCUUCACCCUCCACACUUCUUCUCUUUCUUCUGCAUCAGGAGAGGCAGAUGUAGAGCCCAGAGUUUUUUGUCAAAGAGCCUGAGUUGGAAUCCUGCCUGGCACCAUCGCUGGGGGGUGACUGGCUUUCUGAGGCCCAGUUUCGUCAUCUGUAAAAUGGGCAUGAUAAUAUCUGCCCAAAUCAUUUCAGGAGGUUGGUUGUUGAGAAGAGGUGGUGCCUGUACGACUGCCCUAAGCUUGAAAGGACAGCAAUCGGUGCCGGCUUUGUAGCUCACAAACUUUACCUUAAAUGCUGACCAUCACAGGGUCUUGGGACAGGCCCUAGGACCAGCCCCCCCACCCUUGCUGGUGCAGGGCUUCCCUGCAGAUGGCGCUGUGCCUGGAGAAUGCAGCCAGCAGUAAAUCAGGGCAGCUUGAUUAAACAUGUCCAAGUCUAGUCAAGCCAGACUAGAUGUGGGCGUGUUUGGCACUAUAGGUGGAUCCAGUCUGGAUUUCCUUUACCUGCAUGUCCUGGGUGUGUAUCCCUCACAAAAGUUCCCCCCGCCAUCACAUUCACACCUCACCAAAUUAAGCCACCCAGCCCCCACUUGGCCCCCUAGGAACCACUGCAGCAGGCAGUGUGUUUAAUCCCUGUGAAGCAUUUUAGCAUUAGAUGAAGAUGACGCCUUGGGCUCCCAUCCGCCUGUGACAGAGGCUGCCAGCUCCACUCUUGGAAACACCCUUGUUUUGACUUAGUUUCCCAUCCAAGAUGAAGGUAGGCAGACUGAAAAAGCCAAUGCUAAAAGAAAGAAGACCCCAAGACCCCUGUAUGAAGCUUAGAAGGCAAAGGCCUGUCUUCACAGAGCCAGCUAAAGAGCUAGGCUUUGGCGCCACCACAUCCUGUUUGGAAUCCAAGCUCCACCGUUUAGCAUUUGUGUGACCAGGGGCUUGUUAAGGAAGGCCCCAAGGCUCCCUUCCCUGCGUAUAAAAAGAAGAGAUGGUACCUGCUUUAUAGGAUGCAGUGGUGAGGGUUCAAUGAGAAGAGGCUUGCAAUAGGCUUGGUAUAGUGCCUGGCACAUGGGGAUAUUCAAAUAGUGCUGACUAUUAGAUCAGGAGCAGACAUUGGGGUAGGAGGUAUCAGCCCGGGGAGGAGACGACAAGGAGAGUUAGGGAGGGAAGGACGUGCCAGGGAAGAGACGGUGGGCUCUGCAGAGGAAGGCUUCUUGGUACCUCUCGAAAGCUGCUGUGGGAACACACCUUUACUCUGCUGACAUUUUCAGACAGCCGUGCUGGCAGGGAUCUGGGCACCUGGCAAAGCGAGCUGACCAUCUGGCCGGCUGUUUCUGCAACAAAAAGAGAUGGUGUCAAAGGUUUUGGGAGCUGGGCUCCUUUGACCCACAGUUGGCACCGGAGGCCAAAUAAGUCCUCCUGGAGACCAUCACCUUCUCAUCAGCAAUCUUCCAGCCAGCACACUGCAGCGGCCAGGGAGUGCAGGAUUGUCUCCAGGAAGCCAGUGCCAAGGCCAGAGGCCCAGAGCCUGCACUGAGCAAAUCGCCAGGGAGUAGUGACAGCCCUUCCUUCCUGGUCAGUGCUCUUGUCCCAUGGGGCUACUAUCUCCUCUGGAUCCUAUGAAGACUGCUCCCUGCCACGGCCAUGAUUACGUGUCACACUGCAUGGUUAGAAGGGCAGGUUCUGAGGCCAGGCUGCCUGGGUUCAUGCAUUAGCUGUGUGGCCUUGGGCAAGUUACUUAGCCACAUUUUGCCUCAGUUUUCUGGACUACAAAAUGGAGUUGUGAGAGUUCACCAAGUUCAUGCUUAUAAGGAGAUGGCAGCAGUGCCUGGCAUUUAAAAAGUGCCCCACAGGUGUUAUCUGGGGCUGUUGUCAUCUCUGUGGCCAAUUGUGCAUCGGUUCCAGGUCUUGGGGUCAUGUCUGUGUGCUUGGUGCCCUAGGUGCCCCAAUAUCUAGUCUCUUUUUCUCCCAUUAAAAAAUCAAUCUCACUUCUCUGUCUCCCUAUCUUUCUCCCUUUCAUCUUCCCUUUCUUAGCACAUUAUUUAUUCAACAAACACGGAUGAAGUGCCUGCCCUGUGCCAGGCGCUGGGGAGGGGGAGGAUGGGGGGCUACAGAGAUGGAAUAAACAGUGAGCCCUGCACAGGACCCUCCGAGUGCCCACAGCUAGGCAGAACAGCAGUUAGUCCAUGCUGAUGCAGGAUUCAUCAUCGUCACGGGGGAGCCAGAAUCUGGAGACACCCAGGCCCUGAAGACGGAGCCUGCCCAGCCCCCACCGAAAAGAGAGCUGCUAUUGGCCUCAGCGUCCAGGAAGAGCCGGGUGAUUCAGCGGGAUGGAGAUCCUCCUUCCCAAGACAAGAUGGGGGCAGCAGAGGUGAGAUUCUGGCUGGGAGUGAAUGGGUCUGCUGGCUGACAGCUUGGCUGUCACAUUCGAAAGCUUAUCCGUGGACAGUGCCCCUCUGCCCUGCUAAUGACAGGGAUGUCACUCACAGGUCUCCCCUGGAUUGUGCAGAACCAGACAUUGCUGCCUUUGCCUAGGCAGGGUAAUAGAUAUCAUGAGGGCUUGGGAAGCUUCGGGGGGAAAGUUAGGCUAUCUGCCCACCCCUCAAUCAUGCCACGCAUCCCCAGAGUCACACAGAAAUGUUCUUACACACCUCUGUGCCUUGGCAUGGCUGCUCCCUCUGCCCAGCCUGCCCUCCCCUGGAUCGGGCCUUCUCCAUCUGAGCGUCCCACAUGUCCCCAAGCCUCAGUCCCCAGGAAGCUCUGGGAGCCUGCAGUGCUCCAGGAUCACGGGAGUCCCUACCUCCCACCAGUGGCCCUGAUGCCUUGGACAUGCUUUUACUACCACACUGUCACACUGGGUGGUCAUUAUUUGUUUAGGUGUCUGUUCUCCUUACCCUAGACCUUGAGUUCUUGAGGCCAAGAACAGCCAAGUCUCAGCUUUCUCUGCAGGACCGAGCACAUAGUGGCACUCCGCAAAUGCGUGCUGAGGAAUGGAUUGUCAUUACUGAUGUCAUCAUCCACCCCUGCACAAGUCUUGACACGGAGCAGCCUCCCACCCCUGCUGGAAGCCUGGCUUAAAGUGACCAACCUGCUUUAGUGAAGGGUUGGGGUUUGGAAGGCCCGCUGGAUACAAGGAUCUAGAAUGAGGAGGUCUUUUCCUAUUGAGGACCAAAGCUCUCAACUCUUUUUUCCUAAUAAACUAGGAGAGACCAGUUUGGAAUUGUCUCUAAAUGUACAGGAUGAGUUUGAGUUUAGGGGUAGCGGAGCCUCUUGUUCCCAACUGAAGGCACUCACGAAACCUGAACUGCACCCACUUGGAGGAAAGUGAGACGGGGCUUCCCAGUGAGAACCCAGGGAGAUGCGUCAAAGGCUACAGAGGGAACAAACAAACAAGCAAUUUAGUUUAGAUUUUUUAAUGCAGAAAUGAAGUGUUCCGCUUGUUUGCUUUUAAAAUGGAGAACAGAGAACAUAAAAUGACUUCACAAAUGAAGGAAGUAAUUAGAAAAAAUUCCUCCAGUUCUAUGUGAUGGCCAGUAAAGGAAGAGAGAGCACAGAAAAGAUAGAACGGGAAGGGCAGAUGGGAAGGAAGGAGAGUACGACACAGAGAUGAUGACGCAAAGAGAGAGAGUGAAGAAGAGAUGAACAUGGAACCAUCCCUCCACACACACACAUUUUGAUCUUAUGGAAAACCUGCUUUGUAAAAUUAAAGUUUGUCUUUUGUUGUUUUUACACUGUAAGAGAGCGAUUUGAAUACAUUUAUUGUUUUCUGACUUCUAGAAUAAGAAGUUGCCAGGGAGAAGUCCAAUGCCAUUCUUAGUCUUGAUCUUUUUUUAUAAUCUUUUAUUUUGCUCUGUGGAAAAUUUUAAGUGUUUUUUUUUUUUUGAGAUGGAGUCUCACUCUGUCACCCAGGCUGGAGUCCAGUGGUGCGAUCUCUGCUGACUGCAACUUCCGCCUCUCAGGUUCAAGCAAUUCUUGUGCCUCAGCCUCCCAAGUAGCUGGGAUUACAGGCAUGUGCCACCACGGCCAGCUAAUUUUUGUAUUUUUAACAGAGAUGGGGUUUCACCAUGUUGGCCAGGCUGGUUUUGAACUCCUGACCUCAAGUGUUCCGCUUGCCUUGGCCUCCCAAACUGCUAGGAUUACAGGCGUAAGCCACUAUGCCUGGCCUAAAUUUUAAGAUUUUACCUUCAUAUACAUCACUAUGAAAUUAGCGUGGGCCUUUUUUCAUUCAUUGUAUUGGGUGCACAAUGGGCUCGUAAACUCUGCAGAUGCAGGUCAUUCAGUCCUAGGAAGUGAUUUUGUAUUAUUUCUUUGAUAAUGGACUCUCCUCCAUUUCUUCUACUCCCUAUUCCUUUUGCUGGGCCUCCUAGAUGGAUCUUCUGCUUUUCUAUUUUCUCUCUGAUUUUCCAUACCUUUAUUUUUUUUCCUCUUCCAGGUAGAUUUCCUUGACCUUAUCUUCCAAAUCUUCUACUGACUAUUUUAUUUAUGGGAUCAAAUUUUCAGUACUUUGCACUGUUUUUCUGAUUAUUCUUUUUUUUAAAAAAAGUUUUAUUGGAGGUACACUUUACAUACUCUAAAAUUCACUCAUUUUAAGUGUCUAAUUCAAUGAUUUUUAGUAAAUUUACAGAGGUCUGUAACCAUCACCACAAUCCAGUUUAAAUUAUUCUUUUGUGUAUAGUUGUUUGUUUUGGUAUCAUGGGUGAAAUGUCUCCUCUUAUCUUUGUGUGUGUGUGUGUGUGUGUGUGUGUAUGUGUAUGUGUGAGACGGAGUCUCACUCUGUUGCCCAGGCUGGAGUGCAGUGGCGCAACCUUGGCUCACUGCAACCUCCACCUCCCAGGUUCAAGCACUUCUCCUGCCUCAGCCUCCCAAGUAGCUAGGAUUACAGGUGCCCGUGGCUACGCUCGACUAAUUUUUUGUAUUAGUAGAGAUGAGGUUUCACCAUGUUGGCCAGGCUGGUCUCGAACUCCUGACCUCAAGUGAUCCACCCACCUCAGCCUCCCAAAGUGCUGGUAUUAUAGGCAUGAGCCACUGUGCCCGGCCAUCCUCCACCUGUUACAAUGCAGCCAAAAGGCCCUCACUAAAUGCUGUCCCCUAAUUUCAGACUUCCCAGCCUCUGGAACUGUGAACCAAAUAAACUUCUAUUGUUUAUAAAUUACCCAACCCCUGGCAUUCUGUUAUAACAGCAAAAAAUGGACCAAGACAAGGUGAUAUCUAUCCUUGCAGAUCCCUAAAAAAAGAGUUCCUGGGAGUUGAUGGAUCUUUAAUACCUGCUUGAGGGACAAACCAGAUACUCUUUUGAGAGCCCAUCUAAUUCUGGGAUUCUACCCUCAAGUGGGUCGAGGGGCUCAGAGUUUGCAAAGCUAGAGAGCAUCAGGACCAGGGACAGAUCCAGGUUUUGUGAAACCUGAAGCUUAUACAAUUUUCGGUGCUUUGUAUAAGAAAAAUAAUGCAAAAUUAUGGAUGUCAAAUUAGAUACGGGGCCUAGGAAGGGGCUCGUAAACUCUGCAGUAGUGGGCCUUAAGCAUAAGCUUAUUAGCCUCCCAAUAAAGCCUCCUCUGUCUAGGACAGAACCAUAUUCCUUUGGAGCCAGUAGAUGUCAAUGUGUUUUCCCCCAACAGACUUGGUCUUCCAGAUUCUACAUCUCCCUCAUGAUUUCCCCCACCCCCCAAAUUUCUAACUCAGCAAAAGCUUAUUGAAUGCCCACUGUGUGCAAGGCAUUGGGUUGGGCCACUUCAUUACUUGCCUCUGUGGCAGGACUGAGAUUAUCACCCACCCAGGGAGAAGCACAUCUGACUCAAGAUGCCCCUGAGUCUGUGCAGGUACCAUCAAGGCAGAGGAAGAGUAGGAUGGGCACAGAAAACCAGAUGGGAAGCAGGGCCACAUCUGAUCUAAGGACACAGGUGGUCUCCUGAGGACAUCAGGCCCCUGUGCUCAGAGGAGAAAUCCAUGCUGCCCUCUGUCUCACUUCUAAAAGGAAUUGUUGCCGCAGAAACUGCACAGAGACGUCAGAAACCUGAGUUGGAGUGGAAGGCUCAGCUGUCUUCCUGCUGCCCCUUUGUCAGACACAUCACCCCUCUUGUGGGACUGGAGUCAAAUGUCAUCACUCAGAGUCAGCAGCCCUGCACUUGGUCUGGAGCCCCGCUGCCAGCCCUGUCCCCACAGUUGUCCCCGGCCCUGUCUGGGCCUUUUUGAGCUGAUUGAACUACAGCAUCUAGAAAACUCCAGGCCAAUUCUAGGUUCUGUCUACAAUCUCUGAGUGUUUUCUUUUCUCUUGGAAUGUUUAACCAGCAGAAAAGCACACGCCAGCAGUGGUUUCUGAGGCCCUCUUCACCUUGCCAGAUGACCAGGCCUUGCCAGGGACCCACUGGGUCUCUGUCAUCUCCCCGAGCCUUUUUCCUCAUCUGUAAAACUGAGACGAGAACCCCUAUGAAGGGCUAGUUUUAUGACUGUGGUCAAGGUCAACCUGGGUCUGGGUGUGGGAAGGGGUUACUGAUAUCUCACAGUCUAUCUUCUGGUCUAGCUGCACAGGUGAUAGCCACAGGUCCCCACCAGUUAGAUGUAGUGUUGGAGAUAAUCAGGCAGGUCAGGGCCCUCGGAUGCCCCAAAUUUGCUUUAUGGUUUAUGACAUUCUCCCUUGGUUUGUACUGACAAUGCUGGCUGGGAAGGAAUAAAAACAGCCAAACUUCUUAA